GAUGAACGCUGGCGGCGUGCCUAAUACAUGCAAGUCGAGCGAACAGACGAGGAGCUUGCUCCUCUGACGUUAGCGGCGGACGGGUGAGUAACACGUGGAUAACCUACCUAUAAGACUGGGAUAACUUCGGGAAACCGGAGCUAAUACCGGAUAAUAUAUUGAACCGCAUGGUUCAAUAGUGAAAGACGGUUUUGCUGUCACUUAUAGAUGGAUCCGCGCCGCAUUAGCUAGUUGGUAAGGAAACAGCUUACCAAGGCAACGAUGCGUAGCCGACCUGAGAGGGUGAUCGGCCACACUGGAACUGAGACACGGUCCAGACUCCUACGGGAGGCAGCAGUAGGGAAUCUUCCGCAAUGGGCGAAAGCCUGACGGAGCAACGCCGCGUGAGUGAUGAAGGUCUUCGGAUCGUAAAACUCUGUUAUUAGGGAAGAACAAAUGUGUAAGUAACUAUGCACGUCUUGACGGUACCUAAUCAGAAAGCCACGGCUAACUACGUG
rnacentral:rRNA from 1 species